CUCUAACGACGACGACCAUGCACUGCAAAGCACAAAUCCAUCCCCUUCCCCGGAGGAGCCCCAAGCACUCCCCCACGUCCUCUCACUGCACCCGCGGGGCCUUCCCCGCAUCCCCACGACGGUGAUUCCUGCUUCGAAGUUGGCCGCAGACCUACCUCCUCCGUGCCGUCCCGGGGAUCCAGCAAAGGCUCUGCCGUCCGCCGGUCCUUCCCUCGCCGGCAUCCCUUGCCCCCUCUCCUCCUCCUCCUCCUCCUCCUCCUCCUCCUCACCUGGCCAUGCCCGAGGCCUCCCCGGGGUGGGGGGGCGCCUCCUUUCCCGCCCCACCCUCCGCGGCCGACCCCAGGUUCCCCUCCUCCGGGGAGGGGAGGGGAGGGGAGGGGAGGGGAGGGGGGUCGCACGGGUUCCCCCGAAACCUCACAGCGGAGGCGCUCGCUGCCAACCCCUCUCCCGGCGCCCGCGGGCGCGCUCCGCGGGAUGCAGGCGCGCGUCGCCCUGCGCAGGAGGCCCGGCGGGUCCGGCCGCCCGCCCGGGGUGGGUACGCACCUUCCACCCCGCCGAGCUGUUGCUGUCGCCCUUAUCCUUGAAGUAGGGCACGCAGCGCACCAUCCACUCGUAGAUCUGGGACAGAGUGAGCCGUUUGUCGGGCGAGCUCUCGAUGGCGCGAGUGAUGAGGUCGGCGUAGGACAGGUUGCCCCAGGCGUUGCGCCGCGACGAGCACUUCCUCGGCUGCCCCGAGCCCCCGGCCGCCCCCGGCUGCGGCGGGGCCAGCGCCUGCGGAGGCUGCGGCGGCGCCUGGGUCCCCCCGCUCGGCGCGCCCGCCGCGGGGCCCGGCGCGGCCCCGGGGUCCUGCCCCCCGGGAGCCCGCAGCCGGGCCGCGUCUUCGAGGAGCAGCCCGGAGCCCAGCGCGCCGCCCCCGCCGCCGCCGAGCGCCAUGGCCGAGCCGGCCCUACCGCCGUCCUCGUCGUCGUCGUCGUCGUCCUCUUCGGGGAUCAUCGAGUCGGCGGCCGUCUCCCCCGAGGGCUUGGCCGGGCUCCCCUGCAGCUCCGGCCUCUGCAGGGGCCACGUACAGGAGCGCGGCCGGCUCUGGGGCUCGAACUCGGGGUCCAGCUCCACUUCGAGCGGGGAGAGCGGGCCCGGGGAGGCCGGCGCCUCUGCCAUCUUCCCCGCCCGCCCGCCCGCCCGCCCGCGGCUCGGGCUCUCGGGCUCUCGGGCUCUCGGGCUCUCGGGCUCUCGGGCUCCGCUCUCGCGCCGGGGCGGGGUGCGGCGGGGGAGGCCCGGGGGCGCCGCGGAGGCUCGGGCUCCCGGGAGCCGCUGCCGCUCCUGCCGCCGCCUGGGGAAGCACGGAGGAGAGAGUUGGUUACCCGCGCGGCAGCCCAGCCCUCGGCCACCCCGCGCCCGCCGCCGCCGCCGCCGCCGCCGCCGCCGCCUCCCGGAGACAGGCAGACCUGGAGACGUGCGUCCCGCGGACCUGGCGCAGCAGACACCGCCCCCUGCCAGGCCGCGGGGAGCCGGGAGCGAAUGGACGCGCUCGCGCGGGGCCGCCGGCUCGGCAGGUCAGGAAGCGCCAAGUCUCCCGGGCUGCCAGAAAACCCGGACCCGCACGUUCAUCACCUCCUUGCUCCCGCUGCUGCCAUCUUGACAGUUUUCCCCCCUUCACUCAAGUCCUUUAAAAACAGCAGCGGGAGGGAAAGGGGGGCGCGCACACCGAGUCACGGGGAGGGAAAAGGGAAGCGCCUGGCCCGGCUCGGAAGCAGAUCCGGAGUCACCGGGAAGGCGACCGCCCCGCUGCACAGCUCCGGCGCCUACCUCGGUUGCUUCCCUUCAGGGACGAGGGGGGAGGACGCACGACUCCGCGCGGGCCCGGGGCGCGGCGAGGAGGGGGCGCGCAACCCCGGCCACCGAGAGGCGCUCCGGCCGCCGCCGCCGCAGCCCGCCCGAGGACCCGCCUGUCAGCCUGCGCGCCGCCGCCUGGCACAUUCCUCCUCCUCCUCCUCCUCCUCCCCUGCACGAGCUGGGCGGCCGCGGCAGCAGCACAAAGUUAUAGACACACGCAGGGUGCCUCAACCUAGGCUGACGGCGGGCGGGUCCCCGCCCAGGGGGAGGGCUGGGCGGCGGGCCGGGUGUGCUGGGUGCGUGCGUGCGUGUGUGUGUGUGUGUGUGUGUGUGUGGCCGUGUGCUCGCGCGCGCCUGCGCGGCCGGGCUCCGCGGGGCUGCGGGCGUGGGUGUCGGGGAGCGCGCGGCGGGCCGGGACCAGGCGGGCUCCCGCAGCCCCCGCCGCCGGGCUCCUCCUCCUCCUCCUCCUCCUCCCUCCCGGGAGCCUCAACGACAACAAAGCGCGGCGCUGGGCCCCGGAGAGGGAGCGGGCGGCGGAGCCCCGGACGCCCGGCCGGCGCCGACGCGUGGCCACCGAGCCUCGGGGCAGGGCGCCUGGCACCGGGGGGGGUCCCCGGCGGGCGCGUCCGUGCGCGCGGCUCUGCGGCCGCCCUGCUGUCCCGGGUCCCCGCUAGAAUCGGACACCGCGCAACGGCCGAGAUAGGGGCUGCCCGCAGAUCGCGGGGAGCAGGACCACGGCGGGCACACGCUGCCGAGCGGAGGCGGCGGGGCCCCCGGGACUCCGGUACACGGAUGCCCUGGGGCUCCAUCGGGCACCCCGAGCCCUGCAGCCGAGCCCUGCCCUCGCAGCUCCCUCCCAGACGCGGUGGGGUCUCACUUUUCGUGGAUUUCAUCGCAGAUGCGGGGGGCGGGCGGGGGAGAAGUGUAACUAACUCAGGAGAAAGGCACAUUAUUCCCCGCUCCUAA
rnacentral:lncRNA from 1 species